GAGAAAAGGAAGACCUUGUUACCAGGGUGAGAGAAAUUGAGUUCCUCAGUAUAAUUAAAAGAAGAGAUGGUUGGGAAGCCACCCUGGCCUUGACCUCUCCAGGUUCCUAGUAAGUAUGAGAGUGGCUUUACUGCUGAUCAUCAACCAGCUUAAAAGUCCGAGUAAUCUCCUUCACCUGUUUGUAACAAGAGAAUCAUGAAAUAUUUUUAGCUUCUCCAGUAAUGCCAAAAUUUAACCUUUUUAUCCAAAUUUUGCUAUGAAUGUGCAUAUGUUCAACUAUGGAAACAGAGCCACUUUAACCCUAAUCUAAAGUACUUCAAUUAAAAAAAAAACUAUCCAGAGAAAUUAGUUCAGGAAACAGAGGAUAUGCACUAGAUAAAAUAUGUGCAGUAUCACUAAGGAGCAGAGGCUAAAAAUCAUCUCCUCAGUCCUCAUUGUGCAGGCGUCAAGAGUAUAAUAAAUGAAAUGGAGAGACAAUCUCAAACUUAUCAAUCACACAAAAACAGCCGCCAGAAUCCGGUAAACGUUCAAUUACCAAUAGCAACAAUUGUCUGAUCACUGCUAAAAUUCUCAAUUGUUGAUAGGGCUUUUAAUCAGCACCACAACAAAUUAAUAUCUGCCUAACAGAUAUCGUGCACUUGUAAGUUGUAUGCUCCAGUGACCAUAUAAUACCUUAGCAGCAUUGCCCACGAGUUCACUCCUAAGCUUCACCGCUUUCUCUUCUGCAUCAAAUGUUCCUUUCUGGAACCAGUAAAUCCAAUUAACACGACAACACAGCAAAAUGAACACGAGAAAAAAGCGAUAUACGAACAAUAGGGGUCAGGGUGUACCAGGACUUCUACAAGACCAGUACUCUGUGCAAUGACGACUUCAAUGGAGCCAUCAGGUUUGGGCCUCCAGUAACCACUCUCCGCGUGCAUCGGCUCUCCCGAAUUCGAUUUCCAUGUCUUUUGUGUGUAUAUUAUAACAGGCUAUAUUUUUUAAUACAACAAAAUUGAAAUUACAAGCACAUACAUAAAUAAAAUGAGUGAAAAUGAGUAAAUGGUGAUAAGAGAAAAGGAAGACCUUGUUACCAGGGUGAGAGAAAUUGAGUUCCUCAGUAUAAUUAAAAGAAGAGAUGGUUGGGAAGCCACCCUGGCCUUGACCUCUCCAGGUUCCUAGUAAGUAUGAGAGUGGCUUUACUGCUGGAUGUAUUGCUCCUGGUUGACUCAUCUUCUUUGUUUUUCUGAUCCACCACACCAGAUUACAGGAGCGCUGUGGUUGUGUACUUGUGUAUCGCCUUGUAGUUUCCCCAACUCCAGC
rnacentral:lncRNA from 1 species